AAACCGGGAUUCCCCUUUGGCCAUCUCUCAUUCUUUCAAUUCUAAAGAUGGAGACUGGCGAACGGCGAUGGGGUCUGCGGUGGGCGGUGUUUCGUCGCGACAGACUCUAGGAAAUUUCACGAUAGAACUAGCUUUAGGCGCUUGAGCCUUGCCGUCUUUUUGGGGUGUGGCCUGUCUCCGUCUGCCAAAGGCUUUGAGCUUCCUGGUGUUCAUCGUACCUCCGCUUGGUCCUGUCGUGACUAAACCACGACAGCAGGAAAAAAAAAAAAGCAGCUAGCCAAGUUGCUGAGGAAUUACGGUGUGCAGAGCCCUCGCAGCUCCUUCUCUUGGGAACUCCUGGUCUGGUUAGGUUCUCAGCGAGGAAACAGCCUCCCACCCCGCCCGAUUCCACCUAAUUAACUCAAGGGCCAGCUCCUUUUGCUGGCCUCCCUGCUUCCACGGAGCAGUUAGGCCCGCCUAAACUCAGCGAGCGUUUCUGGAGCACCUUGAGGAUAGGGACCAAGUAACAGAGUCCGGGUGUUAAGGUUAUGAUAGUAGUUAACGUUUUUGGAAAGAGACUGUGUCAGGCUCUGUGCUAAGAACUUUACAUGAAGUAUUUAUUCCUCAUGACUGUGAGUCCAUUGCAUUAUUUGCUGUCUGAAAUGCCACCCUUCAAGGGCUUUGAGGAGAUAUGAAAAACAUGGUAGUAUAUACCAGCCCAAGGAAGAUAAAAGUAAGACCCGAGAAAAUACUUUUCAACAAGACCAAAAUUUAGGCCAUGGAGGGGGACUUUCAAUCUGGAAUGAUCGAGCUUUAAGGAAGACAAGUACAUGAGCUCCUCUAGGACACUGAAAAAGCAUCCUAACAUGCUCAAGACAGGAUAGGAAAUGGUCCUCUGGCUUGAAAGACUCAGCAUCCAGAAGUAGUACCUCACUCUCCAUCCAGUGGUCACCCCCCAGAAAUGUGCUCUCCCUGUCUCACCAGGCCCUACCCACCUGCCUGGGAGCUGCCUGCCUCUUGAUGUGCUGACACCUGCUCCUGCUGCUGCUGCUGCUGCUGCU
rnacentral:lncRNA from 1 species